CUUAAUUUGCAGAGUUAAAUACAAGGGACUUGUAAGGGGGUAAAAAUUAAAGCACACCUGAAAAUGAAAUAAGGGACUUCUCCAGCUAUGACAAGCAGUGCAGCAGAUCAUAGAAGUGGAUGGUGAGUUAUACUGGCUUUCCACUAAGAGGACCUGGCACAACUAGCCUGGAGAACUCAUUCAAGUUUUGGCAGACUAGUGGCUCCAGAUGUUCCCCUUGAUCUAAGCAUUGCCACACAGAGGACAAGGGAAGAUCCACUUGAACAGGAUCCACUCUGAAACUCUGGGUUGGCCUUACAGGGCCAGAAGACUUGCACCCCCCAUUUCAAGUAAUCUGACAUGCAAAGACAGGGACACAGGAUGCUGCAAGUGAGGUCUGGUUCUGCUCAGCUGCAGAGCAGGUUUCUAUGAUGUCAUGAUGACAUCAUGAGCCAUAAAUACUGAGGAAAGGAGGAACAAGAGAUGAUCAAAUGGCCACAAGGGUUAGACAGAUCAUGAAAAAUAUCAGAAAUAACAUUAAGUGGAAGGUGAAAUGCCUGCCCAAUCAUCCUUCAAUGUUAUUCACUAGUACAUGUCUUCAUAUCUUGUCCUAGACCGUGAAAGUGUGGUCAAGCAGACAAUACUAGGGACUUUGAUUUUGCAAGGGCAGACUAAGUUUCUUCUGAAGCCUGCAUUCAUUCUGCUCUGAGGGUAAAAGCUUUGCUUUCCCUCCUUUUCCCUCUGUUCAUCCCUGAAUCCUUACAGCCCUAGAAGGAUCAUCUGUCCCUUCCAUAUAGGCCCAGGAGAGCUUGGACAGUUGUGAAGACCCAGGAGGCUGCUCGAGCCAGACAGGCAUUUACAUAACUCCCAUCUUUCCCAAAAAAAUGUCUGAGCUCCACAGAAUGUUCAGUACAUAUCUUGUUUUGACCAAUGUCCCUGUAUCAUCAUUAUGCUGUUUAUUUCUGCUCAUUCUGAAUUUUAAUAUGAAGUGUUCAUAAAUAAAGGCACAUACAGAUGUGUUUUAAGAUAACUGUGCUUUACUAAAUGAAGAUUGCAUUAAAAAUUUUUAUGACUGUUUAAUAUGUAGACCAUUAAAAAGUAUCUGGAGGCUCCAGGAUCUUUUGGAGGGGUAAUUGUUUUGUAUGUCGCGACAUGUUUUUACAAAUGGGUUAUGUUUUAUCCUGCUGGUCCUUUAUCCUGCUCCUGUCCUUUCCAGUAAUUCUAAAUUUUAAAUGAAAAUAUGUGACCUGUAUAUGAUGAACUUUCAUUACUUUUGUAACUUGUGCAGAAAAGUAAGUUAGCCACUAAACAUGACAGGUUUAUUUGUUCGUUUAUUUAUUUUUAAAUUCUAAUUAGAGAAAGGAAAAGGGUGUCAACAGUCUUUAGUGAUUCACAUUUUAACAACCAGGUUAUAAUUUAUUAAUUCCCAACUUAUAAAAUUUUCACAACCUCUUUCCACAGGAGUCCAAGAGCAACUCAAAUUUAUUUAUUGUUUCUACAUAGGGUGUCAUUAAAUAUUUGUUAUCUCCUAAAGUUUGUUGGGAAGCAGGAUUAUUUUCCACAUCAAAUCACACCAAUGCUAAUGGGAAAAGCAUUAGAUGUUGACCCAGCAAAUUAAACUGUAAAAUAUGAAGCUCAUUGUUAUUAUUACAUACAGACACAUUUUCUGUGCUCCUUAUUAAAACCAUCUUAAUCAAACUCAUUGUAUUUUAGUCAUGUUUUAAAAUAAUUAUGCCAGAAUACAAAACACAUGAAUAUACAAAGAGAACAAGUUCCACUUGAAUAUGUUCAAUUUAACUCUUUAAAAGAA